rnacentral:rRNA from 1 species
CAGUAGCCGCGGUAAUACGUAGGUGGCAAGCGUUGUCCGGAUUUAUUGGGCGUAAAGCGAGCGCAGGCGGUCAAUUAAGUCUGAUGUGAAAGCCCCCGGCUCAACCGGGGAGGGUCAUUGGAAACUGGGAAACUUGAGUGCAGAAGAGGAGAGUGGAAUUCCACGUGUAGCGGUGAAAUGCGUAGAGAUGUGGAGGAACACCAGUGGCGAAGGCGACUCUCUGGUCUGUAACUGACGCUGAGGAGCGAAAGCGUGGGGAGCGAACAGGAUUAGAUACCCGAGUAGUCCCUGUCUCUUAUAC